rnacentral:rRNA from 1 species
CGGCCGUAACUAUAACGGUCCUAAGGUAGCGAAAUUCCUUGUCGGGUAAGUUCCGACCUGCACGAAUGGCGUAAUGAUGGCCAGGCUGUCUCCACCCGAGACUCAGUGAAAUUGAACUCGCUGUGAAGAUGCAGUGUACCCGCGGCAAGACGGAAAGACCCCGUGAACCUUUACUAUAGCUUGACACUGAACAUUGAGCCUUGAUGUGUAGGAUAGGUGGGAGGCUUUGAAGUGUGGACGCCAGUCUGCAUGGAGCCGACCUUGAAAUACCACCCUUUAAUGUUUGAUGUUCUAACGUGGACCCGUUACCCGGGUUGCGGACAGUGUCUGGUGGGUAGUUUGACUGGGGCGGUCUCCUCCUAAAGAGUAACGGAGGAGCACGAAGGUUGGCUAAUCCUGGUCGGACAUCAGGAGGUUAGUGCAAUGGCAUAAGCCAGCUUGACUGCGAGCGUGACGGCGCGAGCAGGUGCGAAAGCAGGUCAUAGUGAUCCGGUGGUUCUGAAUGGAAGGGCCAUCG